rnacentral:misc_RNA from 1 species
CUUGGACUAACCCAAGUGGUCUCCCUCCCAUUUCGUGGGUUUUGGGACACGUCGAACACUUGCUUGUCGGAGACGAACGUUUGCUGUGUCGGACACAUCUGCCUCCUCUCCAUUGGACUCAUAUACUCUCUUUCUCUCCCUCCUCCUAUCUUUCUACGAAUUUACCUCCUUUCUGGACUGUUUUUUACUUGCACCACCCUUAGCCUACGCGCCUCGCCCUGCUUAUCAUGCGCCCACUCUAAAUAGAGUUCAUAGUACGCAAAGCAAUUUUGUUGUUUCGUAAUCUCUCGGUGGCUUUUCUGCUUUGAAUAUGGCAUGGACUGAGAAAAAUGAUGGAAAUGGGAGAGAGCAGGAAUCGAAUGGAAAUAAUGGUUUCUUGGAAGGGUCGCAGCCUUCUCCUACUGCAAGUGGCUCUCCCGUUGGUAUAGCUGCAGCGCCAAAGGGUUUUGAAGGGAAGGAUGGUCUCUCUUAUGCCAAUAUUCUUCGUUCCAGAAACAAAUUUGUUGAUGCUCUUGCUAUUUAUGAGAGUGUCUUGGAGAAAGAUAGUGGAAACGUCGAAGCUCACAUUGGAAAGGGCAUAUGCCUGCAGAUGCAGAGCAUGGGAAGGGUUGCUUUUGAUAGUUUUGCUGAAGCGGUCAGGCUGGAUCCACAGAAUGUUUGUGCCCUUACACAUUGUGGUAUAUUGUACAAGGAUGAGGGUCGACUGGUAGAGGCUGCUGAGUCUUAUCACAAAGCUCUGAGAGCAGAUCCUUCAUACAAACCAGCUGCAGAAUGCCUAGCCAUUGUCUUAACUGAUCUUGGUACCAGCUUAAAGCUUUCUGGCAAUACACAGGAGGGAAUUCAGAAGUAUUACGAAGCUCUUAAAAUAGAUCCGCAUUAUGCCGUAAAAUCAUACCUUCUCAAUCCCACCUCAGUAGCUUUCAGCUUCUUUUAAAAAUAUUUUUUUUAUGUUUGUUUUGCUUUUGUCAUAUGGAUUUAUAGUUUUACACUUUUACUUCUUACAUGCAGCCUGCAUAUUAUAACCUUGGUGUUGUGUAUUCUGAAAUGAUGCAAUAUGACACUGCCCUUAAUUGCUAUGAGAAAGCUGCAUCGGAGAGGCCCAUGUAUGCUGAAGCUUAUUGCAACAUGGGUGUCAUCUAUAAAAACCGAGGUGAUUUGGAGUCGGCCAUUGCCUGUUAUGAGAGGUGUCUAGCUGUGUCACCAAACUUUGAGAUAGCAAAGAAUAAUAUGGCGAUUGCUCUGACAGAUUUAGGAACAAAGUGAUAUAUAUGUAUAAUCAGGUUAAAUUGGAGGGAGACAUCAAUCAAGGCAUUGCAUAUUACAAGAAGGCUUUGUAUUACAAUUGGCACUAUGCUGAUGCCAUGUAUAAUCUUGGUGUUGCAUAUGGUGAAAUGCUGAAGUUCGAUAUGGCAAUUGUGUUUUAUGAGCUUGCUUUCCACUUCAAUCCUCACUGUGCCGAGGCUUGCAACAACUUAGGAGUAAUAUACAAAGACCGAGACAACCUUGACAAAGCCGUGGAUUGCUAUCAGAUGGCUUUAUCAAUUAAACCAAACUUCUCUCAGUCUUUGAACAAUCUUGGUGUAGUGUACACAGUCCAGGGUAAAAUGGAUGCUGCUGCAAGCAUGAUUGAGAAAGCUAUCAUGGCGAAUCCCACUUAUGCUGAAGCAUAUAAUAACCUAGGGGUCCUUUACAGAGAUGCAGGAAAUAUAACUAUGGCCAUUAAUGCUUAUGAGCAAUGUCUCAAGAUAGAUCCUGAUUCUCGCAAUGCAGGCCAGAAUCGGUUGCUUGCAAUGAACUACAUAAAUGAGGGAUGUGAUGAUAAGCUUUUUGAGGCUCACAGGUUUCGCAUGAUUUUGAUAAAUUGGGCAUGCUUUUAUUUUAGUUCUUUUUCUUUUUUGACGUAAAAUGCAACUUAUUAUGAGUCCAUUGUCGUGUACAGUUAUUAAUUUUUGCUAGUUGCCAUUCUCAUGGACUUUGUAAUGAAGCCAUGUGCUACUUAUUUCAGAGUUCAAAUUAUACAUGGAUUACUUGUUGGAGGAUUGUGAGCCUACAAGAAAAUACCAUUUGACCUUGCAGGAUUUGAUGUUGGAUAAAAAAUAUGCAUUAAUUGAAACAUUUGAGUGAGACAUCUAUUAAAAUCCACUUUGAAAGUGAUUGUUUUUUGCUAUGCCCAUUUUGUUUUGUACCUUGUUGCAGAAUUAAUCUACUAGAUUUAUUGGCUUCGAUUUCACGUUCAAAAAAAUUUUUUUUUUCUUCUAGUUGUUCCAUUGAUUUUUCUUUGUCUUUCUAAAUUAUAUUCUUGUGAUCUGUGUCUCUUGAUUUCUUCAAGUUUCCUGGUAUUAUUUCUUUUCUUCUUUGAUGCUCAUUUGCAAAUGAAAAGGAUAAUCUCAUACCACUUAUGAAUCAUUUUAUCUAUUUAUGUUUGCAUUUCUGUACUAGCAGCUUUACGGCUCUAAGAAAAUAUUGUUUUGUCCUUGGUGAGGCUUCAUCUGAAUUGAAAUGCCUACAUGCAGGGACUGGGGUAGGCGCUUUAUGAGGUUGUAUCCGCAAUACACUUCAUGGGACAAUCCAAAGGAUCCAGAAAGGCCAAUUGUGAUUGGAUAUGUAUCUCCUGAUUAUUUUACCCAUUCUGUAUCGUAUUUCAUUGAGGCCUCUCUUGUAUAUCAUGACUAUGCAAAUUACAAGGUGGUGGUUUAUUCAGCAGUUGUGAAGGCUGAUGCAAAGACUAAUAGGUUUAGGGAGAAAGUCUUAAAAAAGGGUGGCGUAUGGAGGGAUAUAUAUGGAAUUGAUGAAAAGAAAGUGGCAAGCAUGGUUAGAGAAGAUAAAGUUGACAUAUUGGUAGAACUUACCGGACAUACAGCUAACAAUAAGUUGGGAAUGAUGGCAUGCCGACCAGCACCUGUUCAGGUGACUUGGAUUGGCUACCCAAACACAACUGGUUUGCCUACCAUUGAUUAUAGAAUCACUGAUUCACAGGCAGACCCUCCAGAUACGAAGCAAAAGCAUGUUGAGGAGUUGGUUCGACUACCAGAAUGCUUCCUUUGUUAUACACCAUCCCCUGAAGCUGGGCCUGUUGCUUCAACUCCUGCACUUGCUAAUGGCUUUAUCACGUUUGGUAGCUUUAAUAAUCUUGCAAAGAUAACUCCUAAGGUACUACAAGUUUGGGCUAGGAUACUCUGUGCAGUACCAAACUCUCGCCUUGUAGUAAAAUGCAAGCCCUUUUGUUGUGAUAGUGUUAGACAGAGAUUCCUUUCAACAUUGGAGGAGCUGGGAUUAGAAUCAUUGCGUAUUGAUCUUUUACCUCUAAUUCUUCUUAACCAUGAUCAUAUGCAAGCAUAUUCUCUCAUGGACAUUAGGUAAGAUGUUGGGCUUUAAUCUUUUUGUUGGUCAGCUUUUUCUUUCUGACAACUGUUUUGGACAAGUCUGGUGAGCUCUAUAUGUUGUUGAUUUGUUUCUGUGAUAAUGUGAUGUCUACGCAUUUAUCCCUGUAGCUGGGCUUUCGCCUAUUUAUCCUUCUUACUCAACUGCAAAGUUGAGUUUUAAAAAAGGUUCUACAAAUGUCUGAAGCAGAAAAAGGUUUUCUGCACCAAGAGGAAGGUGAUUAACAUCCAAUAAGGAAACAACAUCUACUGAACAUUUAUUUUGUAAAUGUCCUAUAUCAUGCUUGUUUUAUCUUGUAUAUAAUCUGAAUUAGAGGCUGUGAAAUAGGAGAAAGGUGAUGAUGUCAUUUUAGCUAAGGCUGAAGACAAUAUAAAAGGAGUACUUGUAUCUUAAAGACUGUGAAUGACAUAUUUCAAUUCCAUUGAUGUCUUUGUGGUAAUUUCCUAAUUUCUUUAUAUUAUUAUUAUUUCGAUGGGCCAAAUGAGAUUGAAAAUGGGCAUUUUAAGUCUAGGGAUGGCUUGGAGGGAUGAUAAAGGUUUUCUGAAACAGAAUUGAUAGGUGUUGUACGAGAUCUGUGCUGGGGAUUUUGGUAGGACUAAGCAAGAGAGAGAGAAUGCUUUGAAGAGAGAGUACAAUUAGAAGUGUGAAAGGAGAGGGCAGCUGCUAGUAGUCCAGCAAAUGAACAACUAACAAUUCACAUAUUCUACAAAAGAUGCAACAUUAACUAUCCUCCAUAACAUUACUGUUCACUUUUUUUUAUUCAAAAGACUACCUUCAAGGUGAAGAAAUUAUUGUCAAUUGCAAGUGACAUACGACUGCGUGCAAGCUGUAUUUGCAGUUGAACUGGCUCCGACUGGAAGUGUAUCUCUAGGAGUCUAAGGUGUAUAACUAACUAAUCAGGAUGCUCUACCAUCCCAAGGUCAAUUUUCUUGAUUAAAAACUUCAACUUAGGUUACUGAAAAUAACAGAGGGUCAUUGUAUACAGCUAGGAACCUAGAACAGAUAUUUGUUUUUGCCUUGUAUGAGCUUGGUUUGCUUUUGUUUAUAGGCUAGUUUUGAGUGGUUUAUCUGCAGCCUAUGAGCUGUGUUUGCAGUCAUAUAUGGCUGAUGAAUAAAUUCUGAAUAUGCAUGCUCUAUUUUAUGUCUGGUCUCUAUCAUGUCAAAUCUUCUUUACUCGUCCUAACG